rnacentral:tRNA from 1 species
GGAGACGUGGCCGAGAGGCUGAAGGCAACGGUUUGCUAAAUCGUCAUACCCCUAAAGGGUAUCGUGGGUUCGAAUCCCACCGUCUCCGCCA